rnacentral:rRNA from 1 species
CCCUUAGAUGAUUUGGGCUGCACGCGCGCUACACUGACCCUAACAAUGAGCAACUGUCUGGCCUGAGAUGGCUGGGUAGCCUUUUCAACCCAUGUCAUGAUUGGGCUAGAUUUUUGUAAGUCUUGAUCUCUAACGAGGAAUCCCUAGUAUGCGUGAAUCAUCAAUCCAUGCAGAUUAUGUCCCUGCCCUUUGUACACACCGCCCGUCGCUCCUACUGAUUGGGUGAUCCGGUGAGCUGUUCGGCCAUAGCAAUGUUUCUUGAGCAGGGCGAUGAAUGUUUCGCAAACCUUGCCACUUAGAGGAAGGAGAAGUCGUAACA